rnacentral:lncRNA from 10 species
AGCCUCCGCGAUGGCAGCUAGGGCUCAGAGGCUGGGCCACGUGGCUGCCGCCGGCGCUGGUUCUGUUCCUUCGGCUUUGGGCUCUGACCCGGGAGGGCAAAUGCGCAGGCUCUAAGCUUGGACUAGCUAGGAGUUGACCGCCGACCACGCACACAGGGAACUCACCUUUGAUUCUCACACACUCCUCCCCGCAGUCCUAUUCCUUAUCUCAAAAGGCGUUGAUAAGUCACCUGCUUCCCCAGACAGGCUCUGCUUGCGGUCUUAAAGAAUCCUGAUUUUGUUCAAGAGACUGGAUGUGGUGGUUCAUGCCUGUAAUCCCAGCACUUUAGGAGGCUGAGGAGGACGGAUCACCUGAGGUCAGGAGUUCAAGACUAACCUGGCCAACAUGGUGAAACCCCGUCUCUACUAAAAAUACAAAAAUCAGCUGGGCGUGUUGGCACGUGUCUGUAAUCCCAGCUACUCAGGAGGGUGAGACAGGAGAAUCGCUUAAACCCAGGAGGCAGAGGUUGCAGUGAGCCAAGAUCACGCCAUUGCACUUCAGCCUGAGCAACAAGAGCAAAACCUCUGUCUCAAAAAAUAAAUUAAAUAAAAUAAAAAGAAGCCACUCUCCUGCGC